rnacentral:tRNA from 1 species
GCCGGAAUUGAGGUCCGGUCCGUGUGACGAGCGCAAGCUGAAACUGACGUUCAGCCUGAAGACGCGGUAACGGUGGAGGUUCGAGUCCUCCCCCGGCACCA